GCGGGGAGGGGUCUGGCUUUGUAGAAGGUACCAGGCAGCAGCACGCGCAAGGGCUGGGGCUGAGCUGGGUUUCCAGGACAAUGGGGGGAAAGGGUCCCCAUCUCUCUUGUGGGAAUCCUGACACCUGUGUC